rnacentral:tRNA from 1 species
AAUAGUGUGCUUGAUAAAAAAGGUCGUCUUGAUAGGGCGAAAAAUGAGAGCCCACCUCUCCACUAUUA